GGCUGGCACUUUCAGCUCCUUGGCCUGGCCCUCAGGUAGAGGAGAGGGGCUAGAUGUUGAAUCAUCACCCCGUCUAUUGAUGUAAUCAAUCGUGACUAUUUAAUGAGGCCACCGUAAAGAUUCAAAAGGACAGUUUGGAGAGCUUUGAGGCUCUGAUUUUGCAUCAGGAAAGCUCAGGAAUGGAGCUGCACACUCAGCCCCUCUCUCGGAAGGAGACCCAGAAGUUAGGACUGGGGGACAAGGAGGCAGAGAAUGUGGGAGAAGCCAUAAGUGUUUAUAAGGUACUGUCUUUUCUUUUAUUCUCAUCACAUGAUGAAAUUCUCACAUAUUACUUACUUGAGGUGGACUACAUGAAAGUUCUUUGGAAAAAUACGUGGCAAGUUGUAAAGGUAAAAUGAUGAGAUUUUCUUUGAUAAAGGAGAUCACUACCAACUCACCCUCUCCUCCUUAGGAUGUCACCUUGAAGGUAUGAUAGGCCUGAAAAGGAGGAUCUGCUCUUUUGGUCUUGCAAAACAGUCACAGGACUUCUGACCCUUGAAACUGUAAACAUUCCUCUGGAAUUAGCUCAGAGGUCUCUCAUGGGUAUAAUAAGAUAAUUACAAGGUAUAUCAUCUUGUCUCUGAGAGAUGAGUUUUCAUUUUUCUCUUUUUUUACUUUCUGAAUAUACCUGUGUGAAAAUCGCUCCAAA